GCUCGACACGUAGCGAGCGUGAUUAGUAGUUAGGAGUGUAUAGUUUCUCCAAGCAAAGCAUUUCAUUCGUUCGUAUUAAGCGGCUAAAGAUAGUGCUGAUUUUCCCCCCCUCCGGAAGCUAGCGAUGGAGGUGUGCUGCUGCUCGACCUCGUCGUCGGUCCUCGCGGGGGGCCGCGGGGGCGCGGCACGGAGGCUGGCCGCCCCGGCGGCGGCGCGGUGGGGCGCGGCGGGGUUCUGGAACAGGGCGGUGGUGCUGGCGCACCCGCUCCCGCGCCGGGCGUCGUCCUCGAGGCCGUCCCCGCGGCGGGCGCGGAGGGGCCUGAUCAUGGCGGUGUUCGAGCGCUUCACGGAGCGGGCCGUCAAGGCGGUCGUGCUGUCGCAGCGGGAGGCCCGGGGGCUCGGGGAGGCCGCCGUGGCGCCGCGCCACCUCUUCCUCGGCCUCGUCGCGGAGGACCGCUCGUCCGGCGGGUACCUCUCGUCGGGGAUUGGCAUCGAGCGCGCGCGGGAGGAGUGCCGCGGCAUCGGCGCCAGGGACGUGGACGCGCCGCCGCCGCCGCCGCCCAAGACCGGAUCGGG
rnacentral:lncRNA from 1 species